AAUAAUAUUUCACAAUAUUACUGUAUUUUUCAUCAAGUAAUUGCAGCCUUGGUGCGCUUCUGAACGUCGGUGUCCUAAAUAUUUGAUAUGUUAGGCCUAAUAGUUGUAGUACAUACCACUGAAACAUUUUUUUCUGUUACUUUGUUGAACAACCAAGUGAGUUCAUGAAAAUACAUAUCUAAAGCUUUAGAGUCAUAUAUAAACACACAGUAAUGUGAAACAUAUCAUAUACAACCAGUUGAAAAUACAGUUUUCUAAAUUUGACCUUUACAAAUUGCUUUGUGUAUCCUCUUUAGUCAGAAGUAAAUUCAAUUAAUUUAGAUCUUACCACAUAAAAGUAAACCAGCAAAACAUUUUCAGAGUGUGUGUGAAGUGAAUAACUCCAACAUGAUACACAGACUGUUAAGAACAACAACAACCGUAUUUAUUAACAAGUACACCAGUGUAGUUUAUUUAUGCAAGCAGUUUGUCCCUACAGAUCAGAAAAGCCACUGUCAAGCGGUUGGCACAUUUAUGUACAAAACAAAUUAAUGGUACAGCUGGCUACUAAGCAUUCUUUAGUGAGAGUACAAAAAGACUACUAGUAUACGAGGACAGAGAGAGUGAGCCAGAGUAAGAGAGAGAGAGAAAGAGAGAGAGAGGUGAGGGUUCAGAGAAAGCAUUAAGUUAGGGGCUCAACAAGCAAUAAGAUCACCACAAAGCAAACAGGCACAAAUCAAACACUACCAUCGAAGAGUAGGAGUUUCAGCGCAAUGUAGCCUAUUUAGCAUAGGAUUCAAAUUACUGCACAUUAUGAGGAAGGGGAUGACCCAGCAAGACAGUCGCAUAACAAACUCAUAAAAAGAUUAAAUGAAAA